AGUUGAGUUCCUCGACAGCCACCGAGAACAUGUUCCGCCUCGUCUUCGCCGUCUUGCUGCUCUGCGCCGUCGCCCUCGCGGCUCCAGGCUUUGGUGGUUUUGGAGGAUUUGGCCACGGUGGAUUUGGUGGCUUUGGACACGGCGUAGGAUUCGGAAGUUUCGGUGGUGGAUUUGGACAUGGCUUCGGAGGCGGAUUUAAACGCGGUUUCGGCCACGGUGGAUUUGGUGGAGGCUUUUACGGAUAAGAUGCUGGUGUGAGGACACUUCAAGGACCUCUCGAUGACGACCACAACCGAAAAAGGCUAAUCUGGACCUCUGAUAUUUUUUUCCUGUGCAAUGACGACAAUAAAAAUUAACACCAAAA